rnacentral:rRNA from 1 species
UUAAUUGCGUUUCAAUAUAUUUUAUUAUAUAACGAGUCUACAAAGGAGUGGUUCAUUAACAGACAAUCAUAUCUUUGAGCGUCUGGAAUCUACUCUAUUUGGCUCAAUUGAACGCAACGGACGUGAUCGCGAGUCCUUGUUGAACUUCAGUAUAUAUUGACUAUCCCCGUAGGAAGGGAUUGGCAAUAAUUGAAUGUUCGCUUUCUAUUAGGUGUGUAUAUAUAGUCUCAAAAUUACAUGUAUUUGUAAUGGCGAGUAAUAUUUAUACUAUCCUGUAGGAAAACUCGGGCGACCGCUGUAAUAUUUCUCUUUAAAACAGAGGAAGAUUGCGGCAAUAACAGGUCUGUGAUGCCCUCAGAUGUCCCGGGCCGCA